GGGUUGUGAGGUUAAGCGACUAAGCGUACACGGUGGAUGCCCUGGCAGUCAGAGGCGAUGAAGGACGUGCUAAUCUGCGAUAAGCGUCGGUGAGGUGAUAUGAACCGUUAUAACCGGCGAUUUCCGAAUGGGGAAACCCAGUGUGUUUCGACACACUAUCAUUAACUGAAUCCAUAGGUUAAUGAGGCGAACCGGGGGAACUGAAACAUCUAAGUACCCCGAGGAAAAGAAAUCAACCGAGAUUCCCCCAGUAGCGGCGAGCGAACGGGGAGGAGCCCAGAGCCUGAAUCAGUGUGUGUGUUAGUGGAAGCGUCUGGAAAGGCGUGCGAUACAGGGUGACAGCCCCGUACACAAAAAUGCACAUAUUGUGAGCUCGAUGAGUAGGGCGGGACACGUGGUAUCCUGUCUGAAUAUGGGGGGACCAUCCUCCAAGGCUAAAUACUCCUGACUGACCGAUAGUGAACCAGUACCGUGAGGGAAAGGCGAAAAGAACCCCGGCGAGGGGAGUGAAAAAGAACCUGAAACCGUGUACGUACAAGCAGUGGGAGCCUCUUAAUGGGGUGACUGCGUACCUUUUGUAUAAUGGGUCAGCGACUUAUAUUCUGUAGCAAGGUUAACCGAAUAGGGGAGCCGAAGGGAAACCGAGUCUUAACUGGGCGUUAAGUUGCAGGGUAUAGACCCGAAACCCGGUGAUCUAGCCAUGGGCAGGUUGAAGGUUGGGUAACACUAACUGGAGGACCGAACCGACUAAUGUUGAAAAAUUAGCGGAUGACUUGUGGCUGGGGGUGAAAGGCCAAUCAAACCGGGAGAUAGCUGGUUCUCCCCGAAAGCUAUUUAGGUAGCGCCUCGUGAAUUCAUCUCCGGGGGUAGAGCACUGUUUCGGCAAGGGGGUCAUCCCGACUUACCAACCCGAUGCAAACUGCGAAUACCGGAGAAUGUUAUCACGGGAGACACACGGCGGGUGCUAACGUCCGUCGUGAAGAGGGAAACAACCCAGACCGCCAGCUAAGGUCCCAAAGUCAUGGUUAAGUGGGAAACGAUGUGGGAAGGCCCAGACAGCCAGGAUGUUGGCUUAGAAGCAGCCAUCAUUUAAAGAAAGCGUAAUAGCUCACUGGUCGAGUCGGCCUGCGCGGAAGAUGUAACGGGGCUAAACCAUGCACCGAAGCUGCGGCAGCGACACUAUGUGUUGUUGGGUAGGGGAGCGUUCUGUAAGCCUGUGAAGGUGGCCUGUGAGGGUUGCUGGAGGUAUCAGAAGUGCGAAUGCUGACAUAAGUAACGAUAAAGCGGGUGAAAAGCCCGCUCGCCGGAAGACCAAGGGUUCCUGUCCAACGUUAAUCGGGGCAGGGUGAGUCGACCCCUAAGGCGAGGCCGAAAGGCGUAGUCGAUGGGAAACAGGUUAAUAUUCCUGUACUUGGUGUUACUGCGAAGGGGGGACGGAGAAGGCUAUGUUGGCCGGGCGACGGUUGUCCCGGUUUAAGCGUGUAGGCUGGUUUUCCAGGCAAAUCCGGAAAACCAGGGCUGAGGCGUGAUGACGAGGCACUACGGUGCUGAAGCGACAAAUGCCCUGCUUCCAGGAAAAGCCUCUAAGCAUCAGGUAACAUCAAAUCGUACCCCAAACCGACACAGGUGGUCAGGUAGAGAAUACCAAGGCGCUUGAGAGAACUCGGGUGAAGGAACUAGGCAAAAUGGUGCCGUAACUUCGGGAGAAGGCACGCUGAUAUGUAGGUGAAGCGACUUGCUCGUGGAGCUGAAAUCAGUCGAAGAUACCAGCUGGCUGCAACUGUUUAUUAAAAACACAGCACUGUGCAAACACGAAAGUGGACGUAUACGGUGUGACGCCUGCCCGGUGCCGGAAG
rnacentral:rRNA from 1 species